GCGGGAGUAGCUCAGUUGGCCAGAGCAUUUGCUUCCCAAGCAAGAGGUCGCGGGUUCGAAUCCCGUCUCCCGCU
rnacentral:tRNA from 1 species